rnacentral:lncRNA from 1 species
CAGCAGGGACCAUAGCUCUCAGUCAGAAGAAGAAGUUGUAGAAGGAGAGAAGGAAGUCGAGGCUUUGAAGAAAAGUGCGGACUGGGUAUCAGACUGGUCCAGUAGACCCGAAAACAUUCCACCCAAGGAGUUCCACUUCAGACACCCUAAACGUUCUGUGUCUUUAAGCAUGAGGAAAAGUGGAGCCAUGAAGAAAGGGGGUAUUUUCUCCGCAGAAUUUCUGAAGGUGUUCAUUCCAUCUCUCUUCCUUUCUCAUGUUUUGGCUUUGGGGCUAGGCAUCUAUAUUGGAAAGCGACUGAGCACACCCUCUGCCAGCACCUACUGAGGGAAAGGAAAAGCCCCUGGAAAUGCGUGUGACCUGUGAAGUGGUGUAUUGUCACAGUAGCUUAUUUGAACUUGAGACCAUUGUAAGCAUGACCCAACCUACCACCCUGUUUUUACAUAUCCAAUUCCAGUAACUCUCAAAUUCAAUAUUUUAUUCAAACUCUGUUGAGGCAUUUUACUAACCUUAUACCCUUUUUGGCCUGAAGACAUUUUAGAAUUUCCUAACAGAGUUUACUGUUGUUUAGAAAUUUGCAAGGGCUUCUUUUCCGCAAAUGCCACCAGCAGAUUAUAAUUUUGUCAGCAAUGCUAUUAUCUCUAAUUAGUGCCACCAGACUAGACCUGUAUCAUUCAUGGUAUAAAUUUUACUCUUGCAACAUAACUACCAUCUCUCUCUUAAAACGAGAUCAGGUUAGCAAAUGAUGUAAAAGAAGCUUUAUUGUCUAGUUGUUUUUUUUCCCCCAAGACAAAGGCAAGUUUCCCUAAGUUUGAGUUGAUAGUUAUU